CCCAGGGGUCCCAACCAAGCCGGGCACUCGGUGGCUUCCCCACACGGCUAUGGCCACCAAGCUGCCUGGAUGCCAACAAAUGCCCGUACAAGCUGCCAGCACAGUCAUCUGAACAGGGAGGGGUUGGAGCUGGAAACUCCACACCCAACCCAUGAACUGGCCGUGGCUCCCAGUCCUUCCCAACGUAGCGGAGUGGUUUGCACAGCACUGGAGCUCGAUGCGCCACGAGCAGUGAGACCCCCUGCGGGACCCUCUGCAGGACGGGCUGCUCCAGCGGCUGCGUGCACCUCCAGCCCCGUGCCGGAGCCAGGACAGCGGGAUGAUGCACGGCGCUGCCCUGCUACCGCUGUGUCAGCGGGGUCGCACCGCCCAGCCGGACACUCGCUGCCCGCUGCCGUGCCCCACAACGACGCUGACAGAGGCGAACGGGAUGGAGAGGGUCCAGGAGCCCCCCGAACCGGCAGCGGAGCCCCGCUCCCGGUCCAAGUUCAGCACCAGCCCUCAGCCAGCACCGGCGGGCUCGGGACGGAUGGGACCAAAGCGGAGGACGAGCCGGUAACGGCGCCGGGACUCGGGGCCGCCCCCGCCCCCGCCCCAGGCACCUGCCGGCAGGACGGGACGGGACGGGGCGCGGCGCGUCAGCUCCCGUCGGGCGCGGCUGCCCCGUUCCCCCCGCCCCGAGCGCUCUUACCGUGAGCGGCGUCGCCGCCGGCGAGGCUGCAGAGGACGAGCAGGCAGAGCGCCAGCCGGAGCGGCAUGGCCGGGCCGGGCCGGGCCGGGCGGCGGCGGCGGGACGGGACGCGGCCGGGACGCUCCGGGACCUGUUGGCUGCAGAGUGAGCCCCCCGACCCCAUCUGGACCUUCAGAACCCUGCUGGGUCUGUGCCGUGUGGCUCCUUUCAGCUUUGCUUCCCAAGCAGCCGUGCAGCUCCACAGCCCGGCAUCACCCACGCUGUGCCGUUAGGGAAACUGAGGCAUGAUCUUCCUGCCCUUCCGCCAGCCUGCCGUGCUGCUCCCAGCUCUGCUCCCUGCUGCAGCAUCCCUGGUGUGCUGCACGGAGCCCUGCGUGCUGCUCCCACGCUGCUGCCAAGCACCUCUCCGCCCAGCCUCGUCUCGCAGCCCCCCAGCCCGCCUUGCUGCUCUUUGCCACCACUCAUUUGGUGCCUUUGGUGUGUCAUAAAAGCACUCCUAUCACAGGCAAUUGGAUUUAAUUAUUCGGGCAAGGAUUCACAAGGUGCUGUGUCAAAUGCUUAAUUAAAGCCUCGAUCUGUGCUGCUGCCUGCACCCCGCGGUGCGCGCUGGCAGCGAUGCGCUCAGCACACUCUCUGGCUGCAGUUGGAUGUGAGCUGUCUGCUCCAGCUCUGUGACCCCAGGAGCUCUGCCCUGGCUGGGAAUGCCCAAGGAGGGACCCAUUCUGCUUUCUCAUUGUGCCCAACGUUACACCAAAGCACAGCAGAGCUGCAGGGCAGCACCCACAGCUCCGCACCCGUAGUUCUGUUCUGUGCUGCCCCGGUGCUCUUCAUGGCUUUGUCCUGAUGCCUUUUUCCUUCCAGCAGGGGAAGAAAAGGAGCGGGGUUGGAAAUGGCUUGGCUUUAGGGUCUCUCCCAGCCCCAGCUAUUCUGUGAUUCUGUGGGAGGUGGAAGAGGGAGCGUGGGGGGAGCAGGCAGAGGGAAGGCAGUAGGAGCCUGUCCCACAGCCCCGCACAGCCAAUGGGAAGGGGCUGUGUGCAACGGAGUGCAUUUCCCUCUGAGUGAAAGAACAGAUGUCUCUUGUCUAUGGCCUGCAGUUGGCUCUGGUUUUCAUCUCUCCUGUCUAUGCACACGCAGAUUUAUAGCUGCCUUAAUUAGUUCCUUACAAAACAAUCUUGUUGCCCGCAUGUCUGUCUGAGCCCCGGGAGGUACGACGGGUGGGAGGCCGGGGCAACGUGGGGUGGCACAGCCAUUCAGCAGCCCUGGCUGCCUGCACGAGCUCAGGUCACCUGCUGGGGCCAGGGGAUGCUCCUGCCACCGCCCUGCGUGGCUCCAGUGAGCACAAUGGGUUUCACCUCCUGCUGCAUGCAGGGGAUGCCUCUGUGAUGAAACAGAGCAGGCACUCAGCUGCACGCAUGCACAAAGCCACUCCAGCACGGAUGCACAAAGCCACCUGUGCACAUGUGCAGCUGUUCCCUUGCACGCUUUGCUCUCUCCGUGCCUUGACCUGCACGGCCUGGCCGUGCUGUCCCCAGGUCCCCAUGCACGGAGCUGCACGGUGACACACUUCUCUGAGCACCUUUCACAGGCACGCCGUGUACACAAGCCGUGACUCAGCUGCCCCUGUGGUUUCCCCAGUGGAAAUGCUUCGUCCGCCGCUGUGGAAAGAGCAAAGAUUGCCUGCAGGGAAGAGCCAACAGCUCCAUAAAACGUCACGGAGCCGUGCGGGUCUGAAUGGGGUGUAGGGGAGAUAGAUGGGAUCAAUGCUUCCCAGCCCAAAGUGGGAGGUGUGCAUGCACUGUGGGCAGCUGAGUGCAGAGCCAUCGCGGGUCCCACACCUCCCGCAGAGCCCCAUCCACCCCACAGCUCCCUUCAGACAAGAAAACUGACUGCUCACAUAGCCCAGGCUCGCAGUUAGUAGAAAAACAUGUUUUUCGCAUUAAAAUUUCCCUUGAAAAACAAUGGUUUAAAUUAAGCAUAGGAAAAGAAAAGCAAAGAAUCGAAAAAGGGGGAGGAGAGGAGAGGGGGGGUGGGGGGAAUAUUAAAACAAAAAGGGAAAUUUGGGGUGGAGCCCAGAAGCAGCGCCGUGAGAGCUGCAGCUUUGCCCCAUCCCAAGGAGCUCCUGCAAGCAGGUGGGGUCCUGGGGACUGAGCAGCACUGAAUGUGGUUGGGGGAGAUGCUGGAGGCUGCACUGCAGUGCAGAGCUCAGCCCCAGACGGGCCAGGGAGGGUGAGGUGGGGGGGGAUGCAAAUCGUCUGAUCUGUCUGUGAGGGAAUUCAAAAGGAGGCCGAUUCAAAUCCGUCGUGACACGAAUGGGUUGGGGCUGGCAGACGAUCCCUGCGGUGGUUGUUAACAAAUCUCACCGCUUUCCUUUGAGUGGCCUCCAAUAUAUUAAUUAAAAUAAGCAAUUAUACACAAUCUGGGUGGAGAGGAGCGGGGAGACCAGCUGCACCAGUUCUUCUCCCUUGGCAGGAAGGGUGCAGGAAGGCACUGGGGCUCGGGGAGCUCUAUGAGAGCGGGGCUGGGCUGUGCCCACAGCUGCCUGCAGGUCCCCAGACUGACACAGAUGGGUGAGGAGAGUUGGGCAGCAGGGAUCGCCUUCCAGCAACCACUUUGUAUGAGAAGACAGGGGCCCAGAGGCUAAGUCCUUAUAGAAAAUGACUUGCCCGUGUCAUGGGGGAGGUGGGAGCAGAGAGGGAAACCAAGCACAAAGCCGCCCAGGAUCUGCUGGUUUGUGUUGCUUGCCCUUUCCAGAAGGUCCACAUCCACCCCCAGUGAUGGGGAAUGCUGUGAGCAGGAGACCUCCCCCCCUCCUCCCCCCCACAACAAACAACAGGGGAUGGGGCAGGCAGAGAGGGAAUACCAGGGGAAACACAUCUGCACGGUGCAACGUCUGUGCAGAACGACAGCCACAUGUCUGGGCUUUAUCUCAGCGCAGCACAUCUCGUGUCAGCAAAUCCCUCAGUCACAGGGUUUUAUCCCCGGCCUGCAGUUUGUUCAUGAGAGAAGUUCCUGCCUGCGGGGCACGCUCGUGCCAAGAGACCCUGGUGCUGGGGAUCCUCGCCCCGCUGACACCCUCAGUGCAAUGGGCACAGGACCCAGCGCCACACGUGUGCACGCCUGCAUGCAUACACAGGC
rnacentral:lncRNA from 1 species